CCUUUGGAGUGUUAUAUCAAACAAGAUUAGUCAAGUUAGAUUGAUGAUGAAAUUGGACACGAUGAAUAAGGAA
rnacentral:ncRNA from 1 species